AACGAACGCUGGCGGCAUGCCUAACACAUGCAAGUCGAACGAGACCUUCGGGUCUAGUGGCGCACGGGUGCGUAAGGCGUGGGAACCUGUCCUUAGGUUCGGAAUAACUCCCCGAAAGGGGUUCUAAUACCGGAUAAUGACUUCGGAACAAAGAUUUAUCGCUUUUGGAUGGGCCCGCGUUGGAUUAGCUAGUUGGUAGGGUAAAAGCCUACCAAGACGUCGAUCCAUAGCUGGUCUGAGAGGAUGAUCAGCCACACUGGGACUGAGACACGGUCCAGAAUCCUACAGGAGGCAGCGGUGGGGAAUAUUAUACAGUGAGCGAGAGCGUGAGCCAGCAAUGCCGCGUGAGUGAUGAAGGCCUUAGAGUGGUAAAACUCUUUUACCCGGGAUGAUAAUGACAGUACCGGAAGAAUAAGCACCGGCUAACUCCGUG
rnacentral:rRNA from 1 species